rnacentral:rRNA from 1 species
UACAGGGGGGGCAAGCGUUGUUCGGAAUUACUGGGCGUAAAGGGCUCGUAGGUGGCCAAUUAAGUCAGACGUGAAAUCCCCAGGCUUAACCUGGGAACUGCGUCUGAUACUGGUUGGCUUGAAUUCGGGAGAGGGAUGCAGAAUUCCAGGUGUAGCGGUGAAAUGCGUAGAUAUCUGGAGGAAUACCGGUGGCGAAGGCGGCAUCCUGGACCAUUACUGACGCUGAGGCGCGAAAGCUAGGGGAGCAAACGGG